CCUACGGGUGGCAGCAGUGAGGAAUAUUGGUCAAUGGGCGCGAGCCUGAACCAGCCAAGUAGCGUGAAGGAUGACUGCCCUACGGUUUGUAAACUUCUUUUAUAAAGGAAUAAAGUGAGGCACGUGUGCCUUUUUGUAUGUACUUUAUGAAUAAGGAUCGGCUAACUCCGUGCCAGCAGCCGCGGUAAUACGGAGGAUCCGAGCGUUAUCCGGAUUUAUUGGGCUUAAAGGGAGCGUAGGUGGGGUGUUAAGUCAGAUGUGAAAGCUUGGGGCGCAACCGGUGAAUUGCAACUGAUACUGGCAGGCUUGAGUCUCGUAGAGGGAGGCAGAAUUCCAGGUGUAGCGGUGAAAUGCGUAGAGAUCUGGAGGAAUACCGGUUGCGAAGGCGGCUCACUAAACGAAGACUGACGCUCAUGUGCGAAAGCGUGGGUAGCAAACAGGAUUAGAUACCCUUGUAGUC
rnacentral:rRNA from 1 species